GGUUCUAUGGUGUAAUGGUCAGCACGUCGGAUUCUGAUUCCGGAGAUGUUGGUUCGAUUCCUACUAGAACCU
rnacentral:tRNA from 1 species